AGCGAACGCUGGCGGCAGGCCUAACACAUGCAAGUCGAACGAAGUCUUCGGACUUAGUGGCGGACGGGUGAGUAACACGUGGGAACGUGCCUUUAGGUUCGGAAUAACUCAGGGAAACUUGUGCUAAUACCGAAUGUGCCCUUCGGGGGAAAGAUUUAUCGCCUUUAGAGCGGCCCGCGUCUGAUUAGCUAGUUGGUGAGGUAAAGGCUCACCAAGGCGACGAUCAGUAGCUGGUCUGAGAGGAUGAUCAGCCACAUUGGGACUGAGACACGGCCCAAACUCCUACGGGAGGCAGCAGUGGGAAAUCUUGCGCAAUGGGCGAAAGCCUGACGCAGCCAUGCCGCGUGAAUGAUGAAGGUCUUAGGAUUGUAAAAUUCUUUCACCGGGGACGAUAAUGACGGUACCCGGAGAAGAAGCCCCGGCUAACUUCGUGCCAGCAGCCGCCGUAAAAC
rnacentral:rRNA from 1 species